GGCUGGCGUGCUACCCUGGAGCCUGCCCUGCAGGCGUCUUCUUCCGAGGGCCGUUCCCAGCGCCUCUGCCUUCGCCAAGGCUGGUACAGACGGCCGCUUGGGCCUUAAGGCACCGCAUUAACCCAGUUCCAGUUUCCUGUGGUUCUAGAUGGGGUUAAUAAUGGAAACUGAGAGAACUGAUGGAUGACAUUAAUGAACUAGAAGGCCAAGCCAGAGGCCCAGAUAAAAGGUUCUGCUUCCAAAAGACCCUGCACAACCCAGGGGACUGUUACAGCCAUUGAAGAACAAUUCACUCCCUCGUCCGGACACAGGGCCACACCGAACACCUACCACGCUCUACGAGACAGAGAUGGUGACGUGAGAAAACUCCGCUCAGAGAGGCUGAUGUCACGGUGCUGAUUCAGCUGGUGUAAUGUAUUCUUGGUUAUCAAAAUGAGGCAGGACAGUGAGAAGCGAGGAGAGUUCCUUGGCGAGUGGAAUAGGGAAACUCAGAUUAGUAGCUGAACAAGCCGGCUGGGUGAUUUACAGCCAGAUACAGAGGCACUUCCCUGGAGACAACAUCGAGGCCUCAUUUGUGUUCCAGCUCCAGGCCCAGAAAAGCAGCAUGACCAGGUGGACGACCCCAGGACCAGCUACAAUGACUGAUGACACCCUGUCCCGCCCUGACCAACCAGUAGAGCCUAAUAAACUAAAAGGGUGCACCUGGAGAACUGAUGCAUGUUCUGCUGGAGUUUUCUCUAGAGACUUAAGAUUUCCACCAGCGAGAGAGAGAUAAAAGCCUCAAGACAAAGGACCCAGUGUUCUCUCCCUCUGGGCAGCAGCCCAAUCCAUUCCCUUCCCCCUCUUCUUCCCCCACAGGUGUGCAUCUCCUAAACUCUAAGAGUCCUCAGGAGACUUGCAUCCAGGGUAGCAAUGGGCAGUGGCACUGGUCCCAGGCUGAUCCCCUGAACUUGUCCCCAAGGCCCCCUUUUCUCUGGCUUCCCAGUGAGUCAAAACAGCCCAGCCUGGGCUCCCCUGUUGCUUCUUCUAUGCUGAGCCCUUCCUCGUUCCACUGUCCCCAGCUUUAAUAAAUGCACUCUCGUAGCCCCCUGGACUCAUGUUGUGAAAGCUUUCCUACAUGAAGCCAAGAACCCUCACAUGACAUCUGGUCCCAGGCGGACACGCUCAG